GCUUCCACCCUGAAACCCUAGCAGUAGCAGACUAGCAGCGGGCGGAGCAAGCUGCAGCGCCGAAUUCCAUUCGCUCCAGCGCCGCUUCGUCCGCGCCCGGCCACCCACCGGUCGCCGCUGCUCCGCAAGCUUUCCGCAACCGUCCACUGGCUGCCGCGCCUCUACACUUACCGCGCCACCCGUUCCUCUUCUCGGGGCCGUGCGCUAGGGUUUGGAGCCGCCGCACAAAUCCUCGUCGGCGCCGCCAUCUCCGGUAGAAUGGAAGACGUUCAGGACGCCAUUGGGGUCUGACAUGUUUAGUCUGGCUUGCUCGUGACUCCUUCCGACCUGCCCCCCUUAGCAAUGGCAGACUCUAAGAAAAAGUACAGGGCACGUGAAAUUGAGUUCCUUGGUCAACAAAGGCACAUUGUUCUGCAAGAUGUUGGUGGAUGGUCUCACCUCGUGGAAGUGGUCAAUGUUCUUCUCCUCGGAGAUGAAUUACCAGAAGGAAUCAUAUUUCAGAGCAAAGCUCAUGGUGAGAAGUAUAUUGAAAAGUACAUGAUAGAGAAUUUGCUAGACACCUGUUUGGUGAGGAGACUGCAAACACUGGUGAAGCUUGGUACACUUACUCGAGCUCAGGUGGAUCAACACUUGCCAGAGUAUCGGAAGGUCAUCGUUUCCCUCUCCGAGACAUUCACUAUAUAUCCCAAAUUC